CAAGAACUCCAUUGUUGUUUCCCUCACAAUUCUAGACUCUGAUAGAGAAGUUCCUAUCUUCAAAAUACAUUGGUUUACAAAAUGAGGGGGAACAAAAUCCAAUGGAAACAAAAAUCUCAAGUUUUAGGUACACAGAGAAGACAAGAGAAUUUCCACUGUUUAAUGCAUGCCAGAUUUGUAUUAGUAUCCACUGAAACUGGAGAUUACAGAAAGAAGAGAAAGAAAGGAAGAAAAAAGCUCCAGAAGGAGAAGGGAAUUCUUUUUUGAAAUCUCACAAUUCACAAUAGCUGAGACAUGGAAUCAACCCAGAUGUCCAUCAACUGAAGAGUGGAUAAAGAAAUUAUGGUAUAUACACACUAUGGAGUACUACUCAUCUAUAAAAAAGAAAUGAAAUCCUGUCUUUUGCAACAAAAUGGAUGCAACUUGAAACUACUACACUCAGUGAAAUAAGCCAGACCCCAAAAGACAGAUAUCGUGUGUUUUCCCUGAUCAGGGUAACUAUAGAGUACCUAAAAUGUAAUGUACUGAAUGUACUGGAGUGAAACAGACAUUUUGAGAUUCGUUGACUAUUUACAGCUCCUGUCUCUUUCGUUAAGGAACAGUGUUAUUUUUUGUUUUGUUUUUUAGUUCAUACUAUUUGUUGAACCUUUUCACUUAGUGUAAGGUUAACCUUACGAUCAUUAAGUAAACCGAAAGUAAAACUCUGUAAAAAUUAACAGUAGGAAUGGGAAAAGGAGGAAGAAGGGUUGGAGCGUGGGUGGGAAGUAUCACUAUGUUCCUAAAUCUGUAAAUAUGAAAUACAUGAAACCUGUAUAACUUAAAUAAAAUAAAUAAUUGGUCUUUUAUGCUCACACGCAAAAAUCACUAAUAGAAAUCAGUUAUUUUCUUUUUUUUUUAAAUCGUAGCAGAAUUUCUAAAAGGAGUGACUAUCAAAUACUAAAAUUUGCUCUCUUUUGAUGUUCACAGGCACAAAGGAUGAAAAACCAUAAAAUGGGUAUGUGGCAACAUCUCCGUUCACCAAAAUCUUUAAAGUCUGUGCUAGUUGUUCUGGUGAAUGCAGUAUGUUUUUCACGUUGGCACAAAAACAAAUUGUUACAUGCAGUAAAGAAAUACCAGGCUUAAGUGUGAAGUUAAAUUUCCAAGCAGCACUUCUGACAAAAUUGAGUUCUAAGAAUGAAUUAAUAUCAAGAAAAAACUUAUAAGCCAACACAAAUGAUUUAAU